rnacentral:rRNA from 1 species
AGCUCCAAUAGCGUAUAUUAAAGUUGUUGCGGUUAAAAAGCUCGUAGUUGGACUAUAGUUCCGGACUGACGGUUCACCGCCCGGUGCUUACUGUCACGCUCCGAACAGCCUGAGACAUGGCGGAGCCGGCUCGCCCGGGGUGCUCUUUACCGAGUGUCCCGAGUGGCCGGCAUGUUUACUUUGAAAAAAUUAGAGUGCUCAGAGCAGGCUACAUGAAUUGGCCUGAAUGUCUAUGCAUGGAAUAAUGGAAUAGGACCUCGGUUCUAUUUUGUCGGUUUUCUUCGGAACCCGAGGUAAUGACUAAUAGAAACAGGCGGGGGUAUUCGUACUGCGACGCUAGAGGUGAAAUUCUUGGACCGUCGCAAGACGAACAACUGCGAAAGCAUUUACCAAGGAUGUUUUCA